rnacentral:sRNA from 1 species
GACGCGUCAAACCACGCCAAAACCGCGGCCA